CCUACGGGUGGCAGCAGUGGGGGAUAUUGCACAAUGGGGGAAACCCUGAUGCAGCGACGCCGCGUGGGUGAAGAAGCGCCUCGGCGCGUAAAGCCCUGUCAGCAGGGAAGAAAACGACGGUACCUGAAGAAGAAGCCCCGGCUAACUACGUGCCAGCAGCCGCGGUAAUACGUAGGGGGCAAGCGUUAUCCGGAUUUACUGGGUGUAAAGGGGGCGCAGACGGCGAUGCAAGCCAGGAGUGAAAGCCCGGGGCCCAACCCCGGGACUGCUCUUGGAACUGCGUGGCUAGAGUGCAGGAGGGGCAGGCGGAAGUCCUGGUGUAGCGGGGAAAUGCGUAGAUAGCAGGAGGAACACCGGUGGCGAAGGCGGCCUGCUGGACUGCAACUGACGUGGAGGCCCGAAAGCGUGGGGAGCAAACAGGAUUAGAUACCCCUGUAGUC
rnacentral:rRNA from 1 species